CCUGGCUCAGGAUGAACGCUAGCGACAGGCCUAACACAUGCAAGUCGAGGGGCAGCACAAGGAGCAAUCUGAGGUGGCGACCGGCGCACGGGUGAGUAACACGUAUGCAACCUGCCUGUAAGCGGGGAGUAACCCGUUGAAAGACGGACUAAUACCGCAUAAUACUAAAUUACUGCAUGGUAAUUUAUUUAAACAUUUAUGGCUUACAGAUGGGCAUGCGCAUGAUUAGCUAGUUGGAGAGGUAACGGCUCCCCAAGGCAACGAUCAUUAGGGGUUCUGAGAGGAAGGUCCCCCCACACUGGUACUGAGACACGGACCAGACUCCUACGGGAGGCAGCAGUGAGGAAUAUUGGUCAAUGGACGAGAGUCUGAACCAGCCAAGUCGCGUGCAGGAAGAAUUGUCCUAUGGAUUGUAAACUGCUUUUGCAGGGGAAUAAAGUGCAUCACGUGUGAUGUUUUGUAUGUACUCUGCGAAUAAGGAUCGGCUAACUCCGUGCCAGCCGCCGC
rnacentral:rRNA from 1 species